rnacentral:ncRNA from 2 species
GCACUAAACUCAGGAGAGUCUCUUCAAAAAAAUGUAAAGGAAGAGCGCCGAAGGUGUACGCAGCAAUUUGCUGUUAAUCUCUCAGGCAAAAGGAUGGAGGAAUAUUA